GUUCCCGUAGCGGAGUGGUUACCGCGUGACUCUUAUAAGCCAAUGAUUCUUUUGGUUCUAUGGUAGAAAUGUCAAGGUCCGGGGUUCGACCCCCCGCGGGAACA
rnacentral:tRNA from 1 species